GUGCUUGCUUUGGCAGCACAUAUACUAAAAUUGGAAUGAUACAGAGAAGAUUAGCAUGGCCCCAGCACAAGGAUGCCAUGUAAAUUCAUGAAGUGUUCCAUAUUAUA